rnacentral:rRNA from 1 species
GGAUGAAUAUUGGUCAAUGGGCGGAAGCCUGAACCAGCCAAGUAGCGUGCAGGAUGACAGCCCUACGGGUUGUAAACCUCUUUUAUAAGGGAAUAAAAUACGGGACGUGUCCUGCUUUGCAUGUACCUUAUGAAUAAGGACCGGCUAAUUCCGUGCCAGCAGCCGCGGUAAUACGGAAGGUCCGGGCGUUAUCCGGAUUCAUUGGGUUUAAAGGGAGCGUAGGCCGCCUUUUAAGCGUGUUGUGAAAUGUCCUGGCUCAACCAGGGCACUGCAGCGCGAACUGGAGGGCUUGAGUGCGCACGACGCAGGCGGAAUUCGUGGUGUAGCGGUGAAAUGCUUAGAUAUCACGAAGAACCCCGAUUGCGAAGGCAGCUUGCGAGAGCGCUACUGACGCUGAAGCUCGAAGGUGCGGGUAUCGAACAGGAUUAGAUACCCUGGUAGU